GGAUAGCUCAGUUGGUAAAGCAUGAGACUCUUAAUCUCAGACUUGUGGAUUUGAGCCCCACGUUGGGCA